rnacentral:lncRNA from 1 species
CCCAUUAAGAAUUGAUACACCUGCACAUUAUGUUCAUUUUGUAGUUUAUUUAAAGAACCACACGUGCAUGGUGGCUUGGAGAGGGAGGCUAGCUUAUCCCAUUUUUUUUCAUAUAAGUGAAGUAGGCAACCUUAAACGACAGUCCUUAUUGUGUGGUGGAAGCUUCCCUUUUAGUUGAUAAAUUUUUGGACCAUUUCUUUGAGAAAAAUGAUCUUUAAGAUCUGCCCAAGAGUCUUGAGUAAUCUUGAUAUAAGCAA